GUGCCGCAAGGUGAAAUCUAAUUGGCCUGGAGAAGAGCUUGCGUCUGAUUAGCUAGUUGGUGGGGUAAGAGCCUACCAAGGCGACGAUCAGUAGCUGGUCUGAGAGGAUGAGCAGCCACACUGGGACUGAGACAUGGCCCAGACUCCUACGGGAGGCAGCAGUGGGGAAUUUUCCGCAAUGGGCGAAAGCUUGACGGAGCAACGCCGCGUGAGGGAGGAAGGUCUUUGGAUUGUAAACCUCUUUUCUCAAGGAAGAAGUUCUGACGGUACUUGAGGAAUCAGCCUCGGCUAACUCCGUGCCAGCAGCCGCGGUAAUACGGGGGAGGCAAGCGUUAUCCGGAAUUAUUGGGCGUAAAGCGUCCGCAGGUGGUCAGCCAAGUCUGCCGUCAAAUCAGGUUGCUUAACGACCUAAAGGCGGUGGAAACUGGCAGACUAAAGAGCAGUAGGGGUAGCAGGAAUUCCCAGUGUAGCGGUGAAAUGCGUAGAGAUUGGGAAGAACA
rnacentral:rRNA from 1 species